rnacentral:sRNA from 1 species
UGAAGGAGUCCAGGCAUUCCUAGUUAGG